UACGUAGGGGGCGAGCGUUGUCCGAAGUUACUGGGCGUAAAGCGCGCGUAGGCGGGAAAUUAAGUGAGAAGUGAAAGGCUGGGGCUCAACCUCAUGCAGUGCUUCUCAUACUGGUUUUCUUGAGGGCGGUAGAGAAAAGUGGAAUGGCUGGUGUAGCGGUGAAAUGCGUAGAUAUCAGUCGGAACACCGGUGGCGAAGGCGGCUUUUUUGGGCCGUUCCUGACGCUGAGGCGCGAAAGCCAGGGGAGCGAACGGG
rnacentral:rRNA from 1 species